rnacentral:rRNA from 1 species
GUCUAACAUAUGUGCAAGUCAUUGAGUUAUAUUAAACUUAAUGGCAUAAUUAACUUAACUUAUAUAUAAUGGGAUUAAUUUUUAGUCUAUUUUUUUAAAUAGUCAAUUAAUUCAAUCCCGGGGCGUUCCAUAUAGUUAUGUAUAAUAAUAAUUUAUUAUUAUUUAUACCUCUAACUGGAGCGUACCUUGAGCAUAUAUGCUGUGACCCGAAAGAUGGUGAACUAUACUUGAUCAGGUUGAAGUCAGGGGAAACCCUGAUGGAAGACCGAAACAGUUCUGACGUGCAAAUCGAUUGUCAGAAUUGAGUAUAGGGGCGAAAGACCAAUCGAACCAUCU